GAUGAAGAACGCAGUGAAAUGCGAUAAGUAAUGCGAAUUGCAGAAUUCAGUGAGUCAUCGAAUCUUUGAACGCACAUUGCGCCCUGUGGUAUUCCGCAGGGCAUGCCUGUUCGAGCGUCAUUUCAACCCUCAAGCCCCGCUUGGUGUUGGGCCCCGCCCGCUGUGGCCGGCCCUAAAGACAGUGGCGGCGCCGCCUGGCCCUCAGCGUAGUACAUCUCUCGCUCCAGGGUCCGGUGGCCGCCUGCCAGAACCCCCCAACUCUGUGGUUGACCUCGGAUCAGGUAGGGAUACCCGCUGAACUUAAGCAUAUCAAUAAGCGGAGGA
rnacentral:misc_RNA from 1 species